rnacentral:rRNA from 1 species
UACGGAGGGAGCUAGCGUUGUUCGGAAUUACUGGGCGUAAAGCGCACGUAGGCGGCUUUGUAAGUUAGAGGUGAAAGCCCGGGGCUCAACUCCGGAACUGCCUUUAAGACUGCAUCGCUUGAAUCCAGGAGAGGUGAGUGGAAUUCCGAGUGUAGAGGUGAAAUUCGUAGAUAUUCGGAAGAACACCAGUGGCGAAGGCGGCUCACUGGGCUGACCUUGACGCUGAGGCGGCGAAGGCGUGGGGAGCGAACGG